GACGAACGCUGGCGGCGGGCUUAACACAUGCAAGUCGAACGGAAAGGGCCUGCUUUUGUGGGGUGCUCGAGUGGCGAACGGGUGUGUAACACGUGAGUAACCUGCCCUUGACUUUGGGAUAACUGCAGGAAAGUGGGGCUAAUACCGGCUAGGAGCUCCUGCUGCAUGGUGGGGGUCGGAAAGUUUCGGCGGUGUGGGCUGGACGCGCGGCUAACCAGCUUGUGGGUGGAGUAUUGGCUUACCCAGCCUUUGAUGGGUAGCCCGCAUGAGAGGGUGACCGGGCUCCUGGGGACUGCGGUACGGACCAGUCUCCAACGGGGGACAGCAGGGGAAAAUCUUAUCCAAUGGUCGGACGCGUGUUGAGACAGCGCCGCGAGCGGGAUGACGGCUUUCUGGUGGUAAACCGCUUUAGCCUGUGACGAAGCGUGAGUGACGGUAAUGGGUAAAGAAGCACCGGCUAACUACGUG
rnacentral:rRNA from 1 species